rnacentral:rRNA from 1 species
UACGGUUACCUUGUUACGACUUAGUCCCAGUCACCAGUCUUACCGUCGGCCGUCGCUUCCUUGCGGUUAGCUAAACGGACUUCGGGUACUCCCGGCUUCCAUGACUUGACGGGCGGUGUGUACAAGGCUCAGGAACACAUUCACCGCGUCGUGGCUGAUACGCGAUUACUAGCGAUUCCAACUUCAUGGAGUCGAGUUUCAGACUCCAAUCCGAACUGGGGCCGGCUUUGUGCGAUUUGCUCCACCUCUCGGUAUCGCGUCGCUCUGUACCGGCCAUUGUAGCACGUGUGACACCCUGGGCAUAAAGGCCAUGAUGACUUGACGUCGUCCCCACCUUCCUCCGGCUUAACGCCGGCGGUCUCGCUAGAGUCCCCGACAUGACUCGCUGGCAACUAACGAUAGGGGUUUCGCUCGUUAAGGGACUUAACCUGACACUUCACAGCACGAGCUGACGACAGCCAUGCAGCACCUGUGCACGUUUCACCCGAAGGCAGCCUGCUCCUGUUUCCAAGAGAGCAUCCGUGCAUGUCAAACCCAGGUAGGGUUCUGCGCGUUGCUUCGAAUUAAUCCACAUGCUCCACCGCUUGUGUGAGCCCCCGUCAAUUCCUUUGAGUUUUAGCCUUGCGGCCGUACUCCCCAGGCGGCGUAC